UACGGGGGGUGCAAGCGUUGUUCGGAAUUACUGGGCGUAAAGGGUCUGUAGGUGGCUUGCUAAGUCAGACGUGAAAUCCCUCGGCUUAACCGGGGAACUGCGUCUGAUACUGGCGAGCUUGAGUGCAGGAGAGGAACGCGGAAUUCCAGGUGUAGCGGUGAAAUGCGUAGAUAUCUGGAGGAACACCGGUGGCGAAGGCGGCGUUCUGGACUGCAACUGACACUGAGAGACGAAAGCCAGGGGAGCAAACGGG
rnacentral:rRNA from 1 species